UCUUUUCUCUUUACUUAAACACACACACACACUCCCUUCCACACUCACCCGCCGGCCUCCACUCCAAACCACACCAUCUCACCAUCAUUUUUCCGGCAAGAUCACCGGAAAAAUAUUUAGGAACUCCAAAACAUCUUCAUCAUUUUAUUUAAGGCAAAAAUUUCUAAUAUUUUUGGUGGGUUUUACACUUUUACUUGAGGUUAUUUUUAUCUAAACUUUAAUAAUGAUACUCAUGUGAUUUAUGAGUAUUGGAAGUGAUAUUUAUGUGUUUUAUGUAUGGGUUUUGUAUUGGUAGAAUUAUUUGAUGAGUGGGUAUAUAUUUUGUGCUAUUGAUGACUACUUAAGGUUUAUAUAUGGUGGAAAAAUUUAGGGGUUUUAAGUUAUAACAUGUGAUGGUUGGUGAAUUUAAUUUUUCUAUUGCCAUUGGGUUUAUUUGGAGUUAGUUGAGGUUCCAAAUUUCUUAUCUUGGAGGAUAUAUUGAUUUUACUUUCAUGGGUCUCUUAAUGAUGUAGUGUAAAUUUUAUGGAAACUAGUCAUAAUGUUGGAGAUGAUAUUAAAUGGGUUAACUUUAUAAUUGGAGUUUUUGCCUUGUGAAUCAUUUUGUUAAGAAACUAUGGAAGUGGAAUAUAUUAUUAUUGAUGAGGUUAGAUGCUAGGCUUGCCUAAUUAAGUGAUUAUUUGGCAAUUCCUAAAUUGUGGCUAGAUGCAAUUUCAAGCUCUAUACUCAUUGUGAUAGGUUUACUUGAUAUUGUUUAGGUUCUAGCUAAUCUCCUUGGAGCUUGGAGAAUUAGGAUUUUGCGGUUGCGAGAUAAGUAGCUUUUUAAUGAGAUUUUUUGGAAAAUAGCCAUGUUUCAUAAAUGUUGUUUUUGGAUCAAACACAUUUUGGAAAAUUGUAUAUGAAUAUAUGUUUUCUUAAAAGUGUUGUGUUGUGACCCUACUAUAUAUUAUUAUAUAUGAAAAUGCAUCAUAUUUGGUAUUGCAUUUGGGGAAAUGCAUGAAUUGUUGAUAUGGAAAAAAAAAUGAGCAUCUUUUAUUUAAUCUUUGAUAAGGAAAUCUUGGAUGUUAUGGUAUAUUAGAAAAUUUAAAGAUGCUUAUCUUGUCUUAGCACUGGAUUUUUGGUAAUGUAUCCACCUUCCAUAUCCAUUUUCCUUCAAAGAAACCAGCUUCUCCCCCUUCCCCUUUAGCAAUUCUGUAGGCACUCUUGCCAUCAAAGUUUCCUGAGGGUGAAUAAACCCAGCUGAUACAAUCAAGAGUGUACGGAGAAAUUGGUAUUGGUAUAGCUCCAAUUGUCCUCCCCACGACACUUGGUAAAUCAAAGGAGAUUUGUUGCAAAUUCCACAUUCCAUCUAGGAUCAUAUCUUUCACCUGCAAUUGAUCCUCACCUCUGUUAAGAGGUCCGAUGAUCAUGUUCCUGAGAGGCCCUUCCGAUAGCUAUUUGUCAAGCCAAAAUUUUAAAUUGCUGUUUCCUCCCACCAGCCAUUUCGAUCCUUUGUUAAAGACAUCCUGCCCUUUUUAAUGGCAGACCAGGUACGAGAGCAAGGUCUCUUGGGGUUUGUGUAUUUACUUCUCAUCACCUUGGCCCAAUUUUGGUCUUUUUCCACAUGCAUACGCCAGUUAAGCUUAGCAAGCAGUGCUACAUUUUUUGGCCUUGCUGCAGUCACUCCUAGGCCUCCUUCUUUUUUUGGCUUAGUGAUUUUUUCCCAACUCACAAUGUGCAGCUUCCUUUUCUCCACCGAAGAGCCCCAAAUGAAGUUUCUGUUGGUUUUGUCUAAAGCAUCAAUAAUUUUCCCAGGGAGCAUGACACCUUGCAUCACACAAGAAAAUUAUUAUGGUUGCUUGUGCAGAUUAUGAGCUUCCUUUAUGGGGCAUUGAUGGCUAGGACUGUUACUGCUAGAAUUCAGCAUCAAGUGUGGCUAUGGUACAGACUGUUACUAUUGGAGUUCAACAUCAGCAUCAGGUACAGCUAGGAAGUGCAGACUGUUACUAUUGGAGAUCAACAUCUGGUGCAAGUUGUUACUGCUGGAGUUCAACAUCAGGUGCAGCUGUGGUGUAGACUGUCACUGCUGGAGUUUAGCAUUAGGUGCGGCUGUGAUGUAGACUGUUACUGCUGGAAUUCAACAUCAAGUGUGGCAAGGUGCAGAUUGUUACUGCUAGAGCUCAACAUCAAGUAUGGCUGGGUAGUGCAAACUGAUACUACUGGAGAUCAGCAUCUGGUGCAACUAGGCAGUGGAGUCUGCUACUUCUGAAAUUUGGCAUCAAGUGCAAUUGUGGAAUGCUAACUUUGUACUACUAGAUGGUUGAUAUUUUAAGUUCCAUAUUGCUGGAUGUUUCACAACUUAAGAGGCAUGGUGAUUCUUCAUUUAUUGUUGACUCCCCAGUGGAGUUGCCAGAAUGUCGGGGGCAUUUUUUAUUUGUUGCCAAUAUGAUAUUUGGGAAGUCAAGACCGAGAUUCGACUUUA